AUAGGGGUUUUCUAAUCCCAAGGAGGAUGAGAAGCAUGUGGGGAGGUCAGGGCUGAAUGUAAUUCAGACUCAGUCCAAGAUAAUGUUAAUCCAGGGUGACAGGAACAUGUGGUAACAAAUAUGCUUAAGACCUUUCCAGGGCCAAAACGUCACCUUUUAGUAGCUGCGCAUUGGUGAGGUUUUCAUGAAACCCUCAGCUCUGCCGCCUGCCUUUUGAAGGCUCUUUCCCUCCUGUGACUGACGCACAGGACAGGAGCGUGUGUGGGCUCGUGAGCCGCUUACCUUCCCAGCCUCGCUUUCCUCCUGCCCACCCCCAUGCCCGAGCCUGGCACACGGUGAGAGGUCAGUCAGUGAGGAGGGACGAAUACACAUCCUGGGAAUGGGUCCAUAAUAAUGGCAGUCUGUCCUGUCACAGAUGAAAAACAGGUGUAACACGAACCUCAAUACGCUUCCUACCUUUCACUUUCACUCUCAGUGAUGGAGAAACACCUGAUUAUGAGCUGCUCGUGGGGGAGUGAAGCUCUUCAUCAGCUUCCCUAGUCCGUGAAAACGGCAUCCGUGAGGAAAGCCGGACGGGGAUCAGUGUUGACCUUGGAGACGUGGAACGUUUCCAGGUACAUUAAGUGGGAGGAAACCCACAUUCUGGAAAAGGCGACCCGAGGAGUUUCUGGGGGCCCUCUAUCCCUCCCCCCGACCCCAAGAAGAGAGGAAAGAGGACGCUCAGUCCCCCUGGCCGUGACCAUGACGCCCGAGUUCCUGGGCCUCCCAUAAACCUGCUCCAGCCGAGGAGUCUGCCAAGGACGCCCGCGUGAUGCCAGCCCUGAACGCGCUCCAGAGUCACGUAAGCGAGCCCUGCUGCACUUACGGAGCUGGCCGUCCAGCGCCUGCCAACCUCUCCAGGACGGGCUCGUUCUGUGGCUCCUUCUUUGGGAGUGGAGAAAUCUGAGGAAGGGGAUUUCCCUGGACGCAGCAGGACCCCGCAGGCCUUCUGUCAGUCCUCCUUUUCCAGUCACUUCUCCAAGCCCAGGUGCCCCCAUCACUUUGGGCCUCUCUGUUCCUUUUGCUUCGGCUUCCCCCAAGGCCAGCCAGCAUUCAGCAGACAUGAAUGGCUCAAGGGAGGAAGCUGAGGGCAGAAGUGACCCUUCUGAGUCACAGGUCGGAGCACGUUGUCCAGCUGCCCACGGCCAAGACCUCAAGGAAACGUUCUGUCCCUCCAUUCCCCACUAGCCCUAGGUGGAGGAAUAAGAGAAAGCAGACGGUUUGGCCCCUGAGAAAGGGAAAUGCCCAGGGGCUGCCGGGGGUAGCAGCCAAGGAAAUAGGAACGGGAAAGAUUUUGAGACGCUGAAGGAGCCCUUUCAGAGCCCAGCUAGUUCAUUUUGGCCUUUUCCACGUGUGCCUAAGCCACGGAGCUGAUCGCCUGGCAAGAGGCCCUGGAUCCUCCAGGCUUCAGGUUGGGGGUGCCCUGCCUCUGGAAGGCAGUCCAGGACUUAACUGCACGGGCUUUGGAGUCCAGCGGCUGGGUUUGCAUCCUUCCUCUUCUCUUUCUGAGGAAACUUGAGCGAGAUGCCGUGGGGAGGAUGCAGUGAUGUGAUGCACACGAGGCACUCGGCACGCACUGCCCCGUUGCUGACACUUCGUAGAUAUCACCGGAGCAGCUGAGCUGCCGGACCUUCCCCAGCGAGGACAGCGGCGGGACAGACACGUUGGCAGGGCGUCAAAUGUUUGUGGCUUCCAGGACCCUGCCAGGACCGCAGGACACGCCUGCAAAGCGCAGUGCCGGGCACCUGGUGGGCACUCAGAGAUGCGGAUGCUCUUAGCCCUGUGGUUCGUCAGAAUCACCCAGAAGGCUUGUUAAGCAGACGGCUGCGAGGUCUGGGUGAAGUGUGAGAAUUGAGUCUCUGCGACGCCCCAGGUGGUGCGGAUGCUCCUGGCCCCGGGGCCACGCUGUGGGAAUGCUCUCCUGGAUGACCAGCCCAGUCCCAGCCCGGACAUGCCGGUCUGCUGCUAUCCCCCAGCCCCAGCUCGUACAGAGCCUUGGCAUACGGAAGGCCCUCAAACAUCUUCUCAAGAACUCCCUGAGCCCUCCCCAGAUCCUCGUCUCUGUCCCUCUGAGUCAUCCCAAGCAAGAAGGGAGAGAAUACUGUAAUUUACUAAGUAAAAAUCAAAGGAGGAAGGACAGCACUAGACAUGGGAGAAGCCUCAAGUGAGGCGGCAUCAUCAGGACCCACCCACUCAGCCCACGCUGGAUAGCCGUGAGUUCACGCACACUCUCGUGUCCGAGUGUGCAAGCGCAGGCGCACAGGUACACACACACACACACACACCAUUCGUGUGACCAUCUCCCCACCUGACCGAAACCCCCAGGACAAAGCUCCUCCCCCAUCCCGGGGAGCAGCACCCCAUCCCAUCCCUCCUGUCCCGGCACCAGGCCCUGCCAGGGGAGCUUCAGGUAAGGGAGGAAACACGGCCCUGUGCUGGCCUGGGACCAUCACAGGGCACUGUGGUCCCCACUCUCAGCCUGACUCCAGGCUCUGUGCUGAGGGGAAUUUAAACCCAGUUUCUUGCUGCUGGGGCUAGGGGAGCCCAUCAACUCCAGUAAGAAAGAAAAAUUACCUAAAAAGAAAUAAAGUGUUUUACUCAUACACACAAAUAUACACACUGAACCCCACCCUGGAAGCCGGCAAAACAUUCGAACCUUGGACCCGGCUGACUUCCAGGUCCCUCAGGCCUGGAUUUCCUGAAGCAGGCGACCCUGGGAGCCCGUGGUGCCCCACCAGCCCCGCCCAAGGGGCCCCAAAGUCCAAACGAGAGCUGGUCCUAUAUCCGAGGCAGACGAAGCCAGCCUUCCCUGUA